rnacentral:rRNA from 1 species
AAACGACUCUCGGCAACGGAUAUCUCGGCUCACGCAUCGAUGAAGAACGUAGCAAAAUGCGAUACUUGGUGUGAAUUGCAGAAUCCCGUGAACCAUCGAGUUUUUGAACGCAAGUUGCGCCCGAAGCCUUCUGGUUGAGGGCACGUCUGCCUGGGCGUCACGCA